rnacentral:lncRNA from 1 species
AAUACAUCUCAAUUCAAUCUUAAUUUAAUUCUAGUUAAAAUCCUAUUGAACUUCAUUCAAACUUUAGGCCCAAAACUAAUUAAAUCUUAAACUCUAAUAAAACCCUAAAUCCUAAAUCAAACCCUAAUCAAAUCCUACACCUUAAAUCAAAUUUUAAUCAAAUCCUAACUGAAUCCUAACCAAAUCCUAAUUCAAAUCCUAAAUCCUAAAAAAAACCCUAACCAAAUCCUAAACCAAAUCCUAAAUCAAACCCUAAAUCCUACCCUAAAUCCUAAAUCAAACCCUAACCAUAAACCAAUUU